ACAAUUCCCGUCAGUCUGUUGACUAAUUCGAAACUCAAUUUUCUAGUCUACGCUCGAGUUGAAGUAAAGAAAGAAACUGCACAAUGUCUGUUACGAAAUUUAAUGGAACUGAUUCUAGAGUUUCCUAUGAAUUCGGUCACUUUCUAUUGGAUAUGAGCUGUACGAUGGUGAUGAGACUCCCUUACAGCAAGCGUUGCAAGAUGGCCACGGAAGUGCAGAAUUGCGAGAAAAUCGUGAAUAUCUUCAACUACUUUAGGAUGAUGUACUGCUCGUUUAAAAUUACCGAUCAAUUUAUGGAGAUUUGCGUGAUGUUUUUAUUCGUUCUGAUAUGCCUCGCAUUUCUGGAGCUGAUGUCAUCGAGCAUUAGGCUAUUCUUUACUCCUGCCUUGAAAAUCGUCUCUGUAUGGCUGCAUAUGAACGAGUACCUGACGGGUGUUACCCUACUGUCCUUUGGCAAUGCAAUACCGGACAUUAUAGGCAAUCUGGCGCCAGUUAGGGGCAAUGCGUCGAUAUUUUCUAUCGUCAUUGGCAACGCACUGGUCAUCAUACUCCUAAGUGGGGGUAUUAUCUGCUUUCUGAAGCCAUUCAAGCUGAGCGGUUCUUGCGCCACCAGAGACCUUCUGUUUCUACUGCUUUCUGUGGAGCUUUCACGAUAUAUGAUAUUACACGGCGGAAAGGUGACCAUUCUGAAAAGUCUUGUGGUGAUUUCUAUUUAUUUUAUAUAUUUAUCUGUCAAUAUACUCGAUCUCGUCAUUCAGCGCCAUAGCAUCAGAAAACUUCGAAGGGAAAUUCAUGAACUAAUGGGUCAUCCUCCUGGCGCGCAACGAGACCAAGAGAUCGCAGAAAAACGACAAGCAAUAUAUGAACUAAAACUUCACGACGACAUGGUUAUCACAGACACUGCCGAUUACCGGCGUAGGGCUAAACAUCGGGCCUUUAAGAAUACCAAUGCCGCUUUCUUUACCACAUCCAAGGUGCUGGACCAUCAUGUGCCAGUUGACUUUACUGCUACUGGAAAAAUGCUCCAUGAUGACCGAAAUCCGAAGAAUUUGUAUCUGUUCAGCGAUUUCCUCGAGUCACUGAAUCCCAUUGAUAUGGAGGAUUGGGAGCUGGGUGGCAGGUUAUCUCGGUUAUAUCAGAUCAUUGGAUGUCCACUGGUUUUCCUAAUGCUUUUGAUCAUUCCCUAUGUGGAUUAUGAGAAGGCAAAGCACGGAUGGAGCAAGUUGCUCAACUGCACCCAGAUCAUUACGGCUCCGUUCAUCUACAUUAUCCUUGUGCAUUCGGCUGGUACAUCGUACUCCAAUUUUCCUACGCAAAGUGGACCUUCCUUCUGACAGUGCCUUUGGCCAUAGCUGUCUUCGCUCAUAGUCGCACAGAUCGGCCGCCCUUCUACCAUAUCGUCUUUGUCGGCCUGAGCUUCACCAUUGCCAUUGUGAAUAUCUGGAUUUGCACCUGCGAAAUUGAGGUGCUAACUACUGUCAUUGCCAUUGUC
rnacentral:misc_RNA from 1 species